CAGCAGCCGCGGUAAUACGAAGGGUGCAAGCGUUAAUCGGAAUUACUGGGCGUAAAGCGUGCGUAGGCGGUGAGUUAAGUCUGCUGUGAAAUCCCCGGGCUCAACCUGGGAAUGGCAGUGGAUACUGGCUCGCUAGAGUGUGUCAGAGGGUGGUGGAAUUCCCGGUGUAGCAGUGAAAUGCGUAGAGAUCGGAAGGAACAUCUGUGGCGAAGGCGACUAUCUGGGCCAACACUGACACUGAGGCACGAAAGCGUGGGGAGCAAACAGGAUUAGAUACCCCGGUAGUCCCUGUCUCUUAUAC
rnacentral:rRNA from 1 species